rnacentral:lncRNA from 1 species
AAAAAGACCUCCCGAUCAGUAUCCGAGAAGUGCCAAGUCAUGCAAACGACAGAUGGGAAUAAUACUCUGAUCCCCAGCAGAGAAGAGGAUCAUAAGCUGGAAAUGAAUUGAUAGCCGGAAGAAUCCCCAGCAGAGAGAGUCAUAUCGGUAACACUCCAAUCCCCGACUGAAAAAUAAAAUAAAAUGAGAGAGUCUUAUCGGUGAAAACCUCCACAGGCACCAUAAGGCGACGGAAGUUGAGAGAAAUAAAAUGAGAAAGUCUUAUCGGUGAAAACCUUCACAGGCACCAUAAGGCGACAGGAGUUGAGAGAAAUGAGAGAGUCUUAUUAGUGAAAACCCCUCGAAGGGCACUAUGAGGUGACAAGACAAGAUUGGCGGAAAGGAUCCGUAUUUGGUAAAGAGUUGAGUGCCUGUUUAUCCCCAGCAAGAUGAGGCCGUCCGAAAGAUUGAUUG